rnacentral:rRNA from 1 species
UAGGGGGCGAGCGUUGUCCGGAAUUAUUGGGCGUAAAGAGUACGUAGGCGGUUUGUUAAGCGCAAGGUGAAAGGCAUAGGCUCAACCAAUGUAAGCCUUGCGAACUGACAGACUUGAGUGCAGGAGAGGAAAGCGGAAUUCCUAGUGUAGCGGUGAAAUGCGUAGAUAUUAGGAGGAACACCGGUGGCGAAGGCGGCUUUCUGGACUGAAACUGACGCUGAGGUACGAAAGCGUGGGGAGCAAA